GACGAACGCUGGCGGCGUGCUUAACACAUGCAAGUGGAGCGACGAACCGGGGCUUGCCCCGGGGCAGAGCCGCGAACGGGUGAGUAACACGUGGGUAACCCACCCGAUGACCGGGACAACCCGAGGAAACUCGGGCUAAUACCGGAUGUGCUCCUUGACCUCGAGGUCAAGGCGUAAAGAUAGCUUCGGCCUUCGCAUCGGGACGGGCCCGCGGCCCAUUAGCUUGUUGGUGGGGUAAAGGCCUACCAAGGCGACGANGGGUAGCUGGUCUGAGAGGACGAUCAGCCACACUGGGACUGAGACACGGCCCAGACUCCUACGGGAGGCAGCAGUGGGGAAUCUUGCGCAAUGCGCGAAAGCGUGACGCAGCAACGCCGCGUGGGGAAGACGCC
rnacentral:rRNA from 1 species